GAUGAAGAACGUAGCGAAAUGCGAUAAGUAAUGUGAAUUGCAGAAUUCAGUGAAUCAUCGAAUCUUUGAACGCACAUUGCGCCCCUUGGUAUUCCGAGGGGCAUGCCUGUUCGAGCGUCAUAUUAACCACUCCCGCUUGCGGGGUCUUGGGCUUCGCCUCCGGGCGGGCCUUAAAAUCAGUGGCGGUGCCGUCGGGCUCUACGCGUAGUAAAUUUUCUCGCGAUAGGGUCUCGGUGGAUGCUUGCCAACAACCCCCAACUUCUUAAGGUUGACCUCGGAUCAGGUAGGGAUACCCGCUGAACUUAAGCAUAUCAAUAAGCGGAGGA
rnacentral:misc_RNA from 1 species